rnacentral:sRNA from 1 species
GUGAGUCAUGCUUCAGGUUUGCCAGGGCCUGUGUCCCGCAAAAAGGCGAGCCCUUAUUCCCAGCGGAAGCCCACCCCGGCUCGCGGCAGCUUUCCGGUGCGCCCUGGGCGGCGUAGAUCCGAAGGAGUGUUGUGAGGAUUGAGAUGACUGGAGUGUGUAUGGCCUGGAGAGUUGCUCAAUAAAUAUAUGUUGCCUUCCACUGUGAAGAGCUGUAAAGAUGUCUGACAAGAACCAGAUAGCUGCCAGAGCUUCUCUUAUUGAGCAACUGAUGUCCAAAAGGAAUUUUGAGGAUCUUGGCAACCACCUUACUGAGCUAGAAACAAUUUAUGUGACUAAGGAGCAUCUCCAGGAGACAGAUGUGGUCAGAGCUGUGUACAGAGUCCUCAAAAACUGCCCCUCUGUGGCUUUGAAAAAGAAAGCCAAGUGUUUGCUAUCAAAGUGGAAAGCUGUUUAUAAACAGACUCACUCCAAAGCGAGGAACAGCCCUAAAUUAUUUCCUGUGAGGGAUAAUAAAGAAGAAAAUUCAGGACCUUCUCAUGACCCAAGUCAGAAUGAGACACUGGGCAUCUGCAGCUCGAAUUCUCUGUCUUCCCAAGACGUUGCAAAACUCAGUGAAAUGAUUGUGCCUGAAAAUAGAGCCACUCAAUUGAAACCUAAGGAAGAGCAUUUUGGGGAUGGUGACCCUGAAUCCACUGGCAAGAGAUCGAGUGAGUUGCUGGAUCCCACAACACCCAUGAGAACUAAAUGCAUAGAGCUUCUUUACGCAGCUUUAACUAGUUCUUCCACAGAUCAACCCAAAGCUGGUUUGUGGCAAAACUUUGCAAGAGAAAUUGAAGAGCAUGUUUUUACCCUUUAUUCAAAGAACAUCAAAAAAUAUAAAACUUGCAUCAGAAGCAAAGUUGCCAAUUUGAAGAACCCCAGAAAUUCUCAUUUACAACAAAACUUGCUCUCUGGGACCACGUCUCCACGAGAAUUUGCUGAAAUGACUGUCAUGGAGAUGGCAAAUAAGGAACUGAAGCAGUUGAGAGCCUCCUACACGGAAUCUUGUAUCCAGGAACAUUACCUUCCCCAAGUAAUUGAUGGCACACAGACAAAUAAAAUAAAAUGCAGACGCUGUGAAAAAUACAAUUGCAAAGUCACUGUAAUUGACAGAGGAACACUUUUCCUUCCCAGCUGGGUGCGGAAUUCAAACCCAGAUGAACAAAUGAUGACUUAUGUAAUUUGUAACGAAUGUGGGGAGCAGUGGUACCAUAGCAAGUGGGUGUGCUUGUAACUGUAAAUCAGUGUUCUCUUAACAGAUAACCGGAGUGAUACCUUUUAUUUGUACAACCCUUUUGUGCUUUUAAAAAUCUUAUACACACUACUCUCUAAAACAGAAAAAGGAGGAAAGAAAGUCAUUAGCUGAAGCUGCCACCACCAUCCCUAAAAGUUACAGUUUGGGGAGAGGGAGUGGAUGACUAUUUAUAUUGUGCCUUGUGGCCAUUUAGUACCUUACUGUAGACAGAGUGUGGGUGAGAACAGCCCAGCAUAAACUGGGAGACUGUGGGAAAUGCAUUCCCAGGCCUCACACCAUUGAAUCCGAAUCUGCAUUUUGACACCUUCCCCAGGUAAUCUUCCAGGAUAGGAUAGUUUGAGAAGUGCUACUUUAGCAAUAGGCCUGUGGCUCUCAGCAGUGGCUGCAUAUUAAAAUCAUCUGGGAAGCUUUGAAAACCCACUGGUGCUGAGACCCCACCCUAGAACAAUUCAGUUGGAACCUAUGAGAUGGGACCCAGGCAUCAACAUUUCUUUUUUCAUUCCUCAAGUUAUUUUAAGAUGCAGUCAGAGUUGAGAACUACUCAGAAACAGGCUCUCAUUUGAUCCUUUUUACAGCUCUAAGACAAGAAUGUUAUUCCAGGCACUUCACGAAUGAGGAAACAGGUCCACAGAGGUGUGGUGACAUGUCCAAGUGACACAACCAUAAAUAGUACCAAUUCUGACAGAUCCCAGAUUUUCUCCCUCCUGACUCACUGAGACUGGCUCAAUAUCGACUUCUGAGAAAUGUAUUCCUGGAGGUCGGGGACAAAAUGAAGAAUGUGUUUAAACUCCAACAUUGAGUGACUAGAUCUUCAUUCUUUUCCCCUCUCUUUUCUCAUUUAUAGGUCUCCCUUCAACCACAAAAGUCACCCUGGAACUCAUCCCGCAGUUAGAAUUUUGUUUGGAGCCCUCUUGCUUAGUUGAAGGAGUUUCGUAGUUGUUUUUUGUUUUUGUUUUUGUUUUUGUUUUUCCCCCUGUGAACAGGUUUUUCGGGGGUAUGUAAACUCUAGGAUGUUUAGUUUCUGAUGUCAGGAGUCUUCAUGUUCUCAAGGACAAGUGUCCUUGAGAUGGACAUUAAUGGUCAUUAGUCUGUCAGAGGAAGCCCAUCACUUUAGCCUUUGAAUGUAGUAACAGACGUUUAUCUAAUAAAUGAAUUGAAGAUAAAAUUACCUCUUUGAGGCCUUUGCAAACAGUGUUUAACCAGUUUAUAUAAUUGUUUGACUACAACACGCCUUCUAUGUGA